GCUCAGGCAGCUUCUAUUGGCCUGCUGAUUUCUCUUUCCCUCCCACAGCCCUGUCCUAGACAGAGUAGAGUCUUGGCAACUUCAGUCCAAUGGAGAAGCAGAGAGCUGUUUUUCCUGGAUACCACACUCCAGGUCUGUCGCACAGACUCAAGACAGACACAGUGAGAGGGAGGUCGCGAGGUUUGGACUAUGGGUGUCUAUGCAAGUUAUUUCCACAAGAGCGAAGGACAAAUGCUUAUAGACCUGACAGAUCCUUCUCAGGCAAACUGGAUUACAACACACGCGGAGGCCUGCAAAAUUGCUGGAUCAAGUUCCUCUUGCAGAUGAAGACCGGAUAACAUUCCAAGCCUAUUGUAAUGCUGUGUGCUGGCUGUCGAAGAGCCCUCUGGAAACCAGACUUAAAGGUAACACAAAGAUGUUUUGGUUCCUUCAAUAACACAUCUGCACCUAGUGUUAUCUGACUUCACAGCACCGUAACGCCAAUACCCUUGAUAGAAACCUAUGUUUCCUACCCACAGGUAGGAGCA
rnacentral:lncRNA from 1 species